GGAGAGAUAAGUGCCAGCAGGCGCGGUAAGACGGAAGGGGCAUGCGUUAAUCGGAAGUACGGGGCGUAAGGGUGCGCAGGCGGUUCGUUAAGAGAGAUGUGAAAUCCCCGGGGUUGACCUGGGAGGUGCGCUUGGGACUGUCGUGCUGGAGUUCGGGAGAGGAGAGUGGAAUUCCCAGUGUAGAGGUGAAAGUCGUAGAUAUUGGGAAGAACACCGGUGGCGAAGGCGGCUCUCUGGACCGAUACUGACGCUGAGGCGCGAAAGCGUGGGGAGCAAACAGGAUUAGAUACCCUUGUAGUC
rnacentral:rRNA from 1 species